UACGUAGGGGGCAAGCGUUGUCCGGAAUCACUGGGCGUAAAGGGUGCGUAGGCGGGGCUUUAAGUCCGGGGUGAAAUCCUGGAGCUCAACUCCAGAACUGCCUUUGAUACUGAGAAGCUUGAGUCCGGGAGAGGUGAGUGGAACUGCGAGUGUAGAGGUGAAAUUCGUAGAUAUUCGCAAGAACACCAGUGGCGAAGGCGGCUCACUGGCCCGGUACUGACGCUGAGGUGCGAAAGCGUGGGGAGCAAACAGG
rnacentral:rRNA from 1 species